UACGUAGGGGGCAAGCGUUAUCCGGAUUUACUGGGUGUAAAGGGAGCGUAGACGGCACUGCAAGUCUGGAGUGAAAGCCCGUGGCCCAACCACGGGACUGCUCUGGAAACUGUGUUGCUGGAGUGCAGGAGGGGUAAGCGGAAUUCCAAGUGUAGCGGUGAAAUGCGUAGAUAUUAGGAGGAACACCGGUGGCGAAGGCGGCUUACUGGACUGUAACUGACGUUGAGGCUCGAAGGCGUGGGGAGCAAACAGG
rnacentral:rRNA from 1 species